GGAUAGAGGUGCGGUAUUGCGUGUAAUCCGGAGUAGGUUGCCAGAACUGUUGAUCCCGUUUGAAUAGCACUGCCGCCGAAAGAAAACUGCCGGCUGCUUUUUUCUUGGUUGUAUGCCACAGUGGUAUAUGACUGUCAUCAUACGCUGUUUGAUGGAGAGCUAUCAU
rnacentral:ncRNA from 1 species